CGGGGUCGCAGGGUAAAUCCGGGGCGAGACCUGGCGCGAAGCCUACGCGACCACCGCGACGACAGCGCCAUUCACCCCGGGCCAGGCGGGCAUCCUGGGCCGCGCAGCUACCUUACGUCAGCCGCCUCUCAAAUCACACGGCUCUGGCCAGUUCUUUUCAGCAGCUUUAUGAGAUUUUCUCAAAUCUCAACAAUCCGGUAUAUUUUCAAAAGUACAUACUGAGCAUCAAGGUGGUGCAGCGAACCUCCCAGAUCUGCAGCUCCAGCAGUCUUGCUUGAGCGUCCACUCAGGAUGGAGGUGAACUCGCAAAGUAACUGAGAUUGGUUGGGCAUGACAUAUGGUGGAUCUAGGGUUGAAUGACCUCCCCAGGGAACGCAGGCUUGAAGUGGAGGCUGAGAAUGCAAUCCGAGUACAGCCAUAGGCCGGUCAAAGGGUCUUGCUGUGUCACCCAGGCUUAGUGCAGUGGCGUGGCGUGUUCAUGGCUUACUGCAACCUCAAACUCCUGGACUCCGAACAGCUGGGACCAAAAGCAUGCACAGCCUCACCAGGCUAAUUUUUAAUUUUUUUUUUUUUUUUUUGUAAAGAUGGGGUCUUGCUAAGUUACCCAGGCUAGUUUGGCCUCAAGCGACCCUCUCACUUUGGCCUCCCAAAGUGCUAGGAUUAUAGGCGGAGCGCCAGUGCCUGGCUGGGACGUUUAUAAAAAGGAGCAAUGCACAAGAGGCAACAAAGGCAAGUAAAGAGGAGGCUGGUGGGCUUGCAGAAACGCCCUGCAGUACCUAUGCUGCGGUUCUCCCACUUCACUGAUAACAAAUCCUCAGUAUCCACUGAUACAAAUCCUGGGACUGCUGGGCCAGUCCCAGGAAUGACACUGGGACAGACUCCCUGGAGGUGGAUCAGAAAGCUGCAGUUUUACCAGGGGUCCUGCUGUUGAGGCAGCCGGCUCAAGGACCAAGCCCAAAUAAGACACUGAGAGGAAGGCUGCAGGCCAGGGUGCAGGAGUAAUGACCAGGAUCAGUGCUCCAACUGGCCCCACUGUGUCAUUAAAAGGCUCUGCAAUGGAAUCCAUCCUGGUCCAGGCAGGGGAGUGUGCCUCCAGCAAAGGACCAGGCGUUUCACUGCAUACACAGCAGGUGUUGCUUAGUGAAGACAAAAACCCAGAGCCAGAGGUACUGUAACAUUCUUCAUUAUGCAUAAAGUGACAGUCUGUUAGCUGAUGUGAUCCUGCAAAUGAAGGCUGUCUACCCACCAAGGGUUUCUCCCUCUGCUAGUAAAACUGAGACUUUGUCAGUGGAGGCUCAGGAGAAGCCCCAGAGGGACACUUUUCUAAUGGUGAGAUGGAACACGGAGCACCUGCCAACAGGCCUUCAGUUAUGGUCAGAGGCCCAACCACCAGUCUGUGUUAGUACCUAAUCAAACAUUUAGAUUUAGGCUUUAGUUAUUGCCUGUUUUUACUUGAAAUUCUUGGCUUAGAAUUAUUCCCAAUGGGGCCAGGCACAGUGGCUCAUGGGAACAAAUUUAAAAUAAUCAGAUUAGCAUGUCAAAAGAUCUCACGUUAUAGAAAGUGAAGAUCUAAGACCAAAUAAAUACUGAUAAAAAAUACAGGCCAGCAGAAGCUUGGAUGAUUUAAUAAAUUAAAAUUGGGAGUUGGGGAGUAGGGAAGAAGGAGAGGAACAUCUCUUUAGCAUUUGUUCAUUCUAACAUUCACAUGUU
rnacentral:lncRNA from 1 species